rnacentral:rRNA from 1 species
GGACUACCGGGGUUUCUAAUCCUGUUUGCUCCCCAUGCUUUCGCACCUCAGCGUCAGUAUUAGGCCAGAAGGCUGCCUUCGCCAUCGGUAUUCCUCCAGAUCUCUACGCAUUUCACCGCUACACCUGGAAUUCUACCUUCCUCUCCCAUACUCUAGCUCGCCAGUAUCGAAUGCAAUUCCCAAGUUGAGCUCGGGGAUUUCACAUUUGACUUAACGAACCGCCUACGCGCGCUUUACGCCCAGUAAUUCCGAUUAACGCUCGCACCCUCUGUAUUACCGCGGCUGCUGGCAC